GCUUACUUUUGAUUUGUCAUGACAAUGUGUGAAGCGCUUACAGAGUUCAGAUAUUUCUUUUAUGACAUAUUACAUUGCUAUGAAUUCUCCAAACUAUUCAUUCUGUAUCUGAAUUGGAUUUUCUUGUUGUAUUGAAGACCCACUGAUUGGGGUAGGAAGUCACUUUUAAAAUAAAUUUAAUUGGAUAUUCCCUUUUGAGCCAGGUGAGCUAAAAAGUGGUUUAUGAUUGCCAAUAAGAAAACUCCCCAACAGACCAAUUGACAUAGAAGUUAAUAACUAUAGGUCAUGGUACUGCCUUUUAUAAUGAGCAAAAUCCAUACUGCAAAGUAAAAUAUAAAAGACCCGGACAAUGAAAAAGGUGAAACCGUAUGAGGGCUGUAUGUCAAAAACUCCCAUCAUCAGGUAAAACAAUUCAAAGCAGACACUAACGUUAGUUUUCUCGUUUGAAUUGUUUUACAUUGUCAUAUCGGGGGCCUUUUAUAGCUGACUACGCGGUAUGGGCUUUGAAGACUGUACGGUGACCUAUAGUUGUCAAUGUCUGUGUCAUUUUGGUCUCUUGUGGACAGUUGUCUCAUUGGCAAUCAUACCACAUUUUCUUUUUUAUAUAUACUAACAGCCUGAUUUAUGUUUAAAACAAUAAAUGAAAAACAAAUAUGAAAAUAUGAUCAACAGCAAAAAAAAACACAACCACUGAAUCACAGGCUCUUGACUUGGGACAGGCACAUACAUAAUGUGAUGGGGUUAUACACGUUUGCCGGCACCAAUAACCUUCCCCCAACAUGGGACAGUGGAGUAACAGUGCGACAUCAGGACAAACUAUAGAAAUCAGUUAAAAAGAACUUAGUCAAAGUGCAAUAAAUGAAACUGGGAAUUCAAACACCCACCAGAUUAAGGCUUGACCAAAUAAAACUAUGAAAAUUAGUUUCAAGGAAUAAAAAAGCUUUCACAAUAUUAUUGCAAAACAUUCAAAGCAA
rnacentral:lncRNA from 1 species